AUGAAACACCCACAUUUAAAAAAAUCCUAGAUAGACUCUAAAGUCUCCCACACAACAAAUAAAUACAAAUAAACAGUACUAAUAAAAAUAAAACAUUAUAUAUAAUUAAUAAAAAUAAACAGUUAGUAAUAGAGAAUGAAAACUUUACAAAAGAAAAUAAAAUAAUUUUAAUACAGAAAAAAUUCUACUAAAUGAAGAGACAUUUAUACAAAAAGUACUGAAAAGGAAAGAAACAACCAUAAACACAAUCUAGAACAUAUUAUAAACACCCAAUAUUAUUCCUUUUGCAUCAGGAGCUUAUAAGAAAAAUCAUAAAUAAAUCCCACCAAAUACAAAUAAACUAAAAACUAAUAAAUUUAUGAAACCCGAAACCUUGUGAUCUAUUCAUGAACAGAAACAAUAGAACUAAUUAGUAAAUGUUGCAAUAUUUUUAAAUGAUUCAUGACUAGAAACAAAAAGUUAAUCGUACAAGGAAAUAACUGGUUUUCGAAGAAAUAUAUUUAAGUAUAAAUAAAAAAAUCAGAAGGUAUAAUAAAAACAUAAAAAUUCUGAUUUUAACAAAAAAAUCAAACUAACCGUGAAAAGAUAGUUAGUUUAAAUGAAAACAGCCAUAACCUAAAUUAAAAACAAAAAAUAUUUUAAUACAACAAAUAAGUGGGCUUAAAAACAGCCACCUUCUAAUAAAAACGUAACCGUUUAUUACAAAAAAAUAAAUAUAAACAAUUAAAAAAAGAAACAAUAAAGAUUAGGUUUUUUAAAAAGAUAUUCGAAUAACAAAAACAAUUUAAGCACUAGUAAAUACCACACACACCCAAAGAAAAAUAACCGGCCCAUAAACUUUAAAUACCACGAACCUAAUUUAAUAAAACAAAAACCGUUCUUUAAUCCAACUCCGGUGGGAUUAAAUAAAUAAAACAAUUUUUAAGGAACUCGGCAAAAUAGGGAUUCGACUGUUUACCAAAAACAUAGCCAAUAGAAAAAAUUAUUAAUGGUGAUGCCUGCUCAAUGAUUACACAAUAAAAAAAAUAACAAUGAUUAAAUAGCUGCGGUAACACCUGACCGUACAAAGGUAGCAUAAUAAAUCGCCUACUAAUUAUAGGAUAGAAUGAAGGUAAAACGAAAACCCAACUGUCUCAAAACCAUAAAAUCUAAAAUAGAAUGUGUGUGUAAAUCCACACUAAAACGGCAAGACGAUAAGACCCUAAGAACUUUACCAAAAACUUAAUUAAAUGAAAACAUAAGUUUUAAGUUUCGUUGGGGCAACGAUCUUUAAAAAAGUAACUAAGAUUAAAUAAUCAAUAAAAAUAAACAUCCAAACAUACAAAAGAUAAGACCCAUUAAAUAAACAAAUUAAUGAUAAUAUAAUAAAAGUUCCUUAGGGAUAACAGCGUUAUAUCGUUUCAAGAGAACCAUCCAAACGAUGUUUGCGACCUCGAUGUUGAAUUGCUAUAUCCUAAAAUGUAGUCACAUUUAAAGGUUGGACUGUCCUUCCAUUAAAAUAGCCCAUGAUUUGAGUUCAGACCGAGGCAACUCAGGUCAGAUUCUAUCUACCGUUUAAACAAAUAAACAUGAUAUGAGUACGAAAGGAAAAUAUCUAUUACCCCCAUAGUAAACCACGAAAAAAAAUUAAGUUUAUAAAACAUAA
rnacentral:rRNA from 1 species